rfam:Salipiger mucosus DSM 16094 genomic scaffold scaffold9, whole genome shotgun sequence.
GGACGGGUAGCUCAGGGGUAGAGCGGUUGGUUGAAGCCCAGCGCGCCGGAGGUUCGAUUCCUCCCUCGUCCA